CUAAUACCGCAUAAAGUUGAGAGACCAAAGCAUGGGACCUACGGGCCAUGCGCCAUUUGAUGAACCCAUAUGGGAUUAGCUAGUUGGUGGGGUAAUGGCUCACCAAGGCGACGAUCUCUAGCUGGUCUGAGAGGAUGACCAGCCACACUGGAACUGAGACACGGUCCAGACUCCUACGGGAGGCAGCAGUGGGGAAUAUUGCACAAUGGGGGGAACCCUGAUGCAGCCAUGCCGCGUGUAUGAAGAAGGCCUUCGGGUUGUAAAGUACUUUCGGUGAUGAGGAAGGURAUGAAUCUAAUAGGUUUAUUAAUUGACGUUAAUCACAGAAGAAGCACCGGCUAACUCCGUGCCAGCAGCCGCGGUAAUACGGAGGGUGCGAGCGUUAAUCGGAAUGACUGGGCGUAAAGGGCAUGUAGGCGGAUAAUUAAGUUAGGUGUGAAAGCCCUGGGCUCAACCUAGGAAUUGCACUUAAAACUGGUUAACUAGAGUAUUGUAGAGGAAGGUAGAAUUCCACGUGUAGCGGUGAAAUGCGUAGAGAUGUGGAGGAAUACCGGUGGCGAAGGCGGCCUUCUGGACAGAUACUGACGCUGAGAUGCGAAAGCGUGGGGAGCAAACAGGAUUAGAUACCCUGGUAGUCCACGCUGUAAACGAUGUCGAUUUGGAGUUUGUUGCCUAGAGUGAUGGGCUCCGAAGCUAACGCGAUAAAUCGACCGCCUGGGGAGUACGGCCGCAAGGUUAAAACUCAAAUGAAUUGACGGGGGCCCGCACAAGCGGUGGAGCAUGUGGUUUAAUUCGAUGCAACGCGAAGAACCUUACCUGGUCUUGACAUCCACAGAAUCUUGUAGAGAUACGAGAGUGCCUUCGGGAACUGUGAGACAGGUGCUGCAUGGCUGUCGUCAGCUCGUGUUGUGAAAUGUUGGGUUAAGUCCCGCAACGAGCGCAACCCUUAUCCUUUGUUGCCAUCGAUUCGGUCGGGAACUCAAAGGAGACUGCCGUUGAUAAAGCGGAGGAAGGUGGGGACGACGUCAAGUCAUCAUGGCCCUUACGACCAGGGCUACACACGUGCUACAAUGGCGUAUACAAAGGGAGGCGACCUCGCGAGAGUAAGCGGACCUCACAAAGUACGUCUAAGUCCGGAUUGGAGUCUGCAACUCGACUCCAUGAAGUCGGAAUCGCUAGUAAUCGUGAAUCAGAAUGUCACGGUGAAUACGUUCCCGGGCCUUGUACACACCGCCCGUCACACCAUGGGAGUGGGU
rnacentral:rRNA from 1 species